rnacentral:lncRNA from 1 species
AUUACCUUCUGAAUCUUUCCUUAUUCUCUCUAGUGCACCUGAACCCAAAGCUAUGCAACUCUCUGUAUUCCCAGUUACUAAUACUCUGCCUUGCACAUAGUAGGCGCUCAAUAAAUGCUUGGAUUAAGUUGAAUUGAACUCUCACUUCGGGAAAAUUUUUCUACAUUUGUUCAUUUUCUUUCUUGUGCUCUUUCCUUCUCUUUAUUAUAGCUGUGCUUCAAAGAAACAACGUCAAUCAUAGUGAGAAGUAGGGCUCUAAGAGAGGAAUAUGCAAGGAGGAUACUUGGAACAGAGGUAAACUGAUGAAGAAGUGACUUGAGAAAUGGGACAUCGUCUGGGGCUCACAGACCUGUAUAGGAAGCCUCAAUGGAUUGCAGUGAGAACAGCUGGGAAUAUCCCAAGGUCACUGAGUGCCUCGUGGGAGAGGCACUGAAAGAAGGAGGAGCAUUUCUUUUGCAUAUUUCUGGAGAUCUUUUCAUGUCUGGCUUAAUAGAAGACAACUGGAUUCUUAUACCUACUUCUCCUUUUGAUUGGUGGUGA